GUAGGUGGCAAGCGUUGUCCGGGAUUAUUGGGCGUAAAGCGCGCGCAGGCGGUCCUUUAAGUCUGAUGUGAAAGCCCACGGCUCAACCGUGGAGGGUCAUUGGAAACUGGGGGACUUGAGUACAGAGGAGGAAAGCGGAAUUCCAAGUGUAGCGGUGAAAUGCGUAGAGAUUUGGAGGAACACCAGUGGCGAAGGCGGCUUUCUGGUCUGUAACUGACGCUGAGGCGCGAAAGCGUGGGGAGCAAACAGGAUUAGAUACCCUGGUAGUCCACGCCGUAAACGAUGAGUGCUAAGUGUUAGGGGGUUUCCCGCCCCCCUUAGUGCUGCAGCUAACGCAUUAAGCACUCCGCCUGGGGAGUACGGCCGCAAGGCUA
rnacentral:rRNA from 1 species